rnacentral:rRNA from 1 species
GACAGAGGAUGCAAACGUUGCUCGGAUUUACUGGGCGUAAAGCGCGCGCAGGCGGUCCCGUAAGUCGGACGUGAAAGCCCAGGGCUCAACCUUGGAAGUGCGUCCGAUACUGCGAGACUGGAGUACUGGAGAGGAGAGCGGAAUUCCCGGUGAUAGAGGUGAAAUUCGUAGAUAUCGGGAGGAACACCAGUGGCGAAGGCGGCUCUCUGGACAGAUACUGACGCUGAGGCGCGAAAGCGUGGGAAGCAAACAGG